AGCGAACGCUGGCGGCAGGCUUAACACAUGCAAGUCGAACGGGCAUAGCAAUAUGUCAGUGGCAGACGGGUGAGUAACGCGUGGGAACGUACCUUUUGGUUCGGAACAACACAGGGAAACUUGUGCUAAUACCGGAUAAGCCCUUACGGGGAAAGAUUUAUCGCCGAAAGAUCGGCCCGCGUCUGAUUAGCUAGUUGGUAGGGUAAUGGCCUACCAAGGCGACGAUCAGUAGCUGGUCUGAGAGGAUGAUCAGCCACAUUGGGACUGAGACACGGCCCAAACUCCUACGGGAGGCAGCAGAGGGGAAUAUUGGACAAUGGGCGAAAGCCUGAUCCAGCCAUGCCGCGUGAGUGAUGAAGGCCCUAGGGUUGUAAAGCUCUUUUGUGCGGGAAGAUAAUGACGGUACCGCAAGAAUAAGCCCCGGCUAACUUCGUG
rnacentral:rRNA from 1 species